AACGAUGGAGGAGGAGAUGACGGCGGCGAUAGAUCGAGGCGACAAGGAGGAGGGCCGGGAUUAGAGAGGACCCAGCGGCGGCACCCGACCUGUGUGUGGCAGCGCGCGAGGGGAGGCCAGGGGAGGGUGCCGAGGGUGCCACGGCGCGCGGAGGUAAGGGGCGAUGACGACGUCGAGGAGGAUGGCGCGGAUGAGGCGGGCCGGCGCGGUGGCGACGACAGGACGACGACCGGAAGAUGGAGAAGAAGAGGUGGGGGAGUGAAGUGAGGAGGAAGAAGGGGGCGGAGCCAGGCGUACUAGUUUUGUAGUUUUAAUUUAUAUAUGUUUUAAGUUAUUUUGUACUAGUGUUGUUAAACAAAAAUAAAAACUUAUUUUGAACAUGCAAAAAUAUAUUAAAUUAGUAAGUAUAUUUAAAAUAAGUUUGAAUCAGCCAUUAAUUCUAUGCUAGUUGAUUAAAUUUCUAAAAUAAUUAUUUUAAUGCAUCAAUAUCAUCAACAAACUCUUCA
rnacentral:lncRNA from 1 species